GGUCUUUUAGUGUAAUGGUAGCCCAUUAUCCCUUCACGAUAGUAGUAUCAGUUCGAAUCUGAUAAAGACUA
rnacentral:tRNA from 3 species